GAGCGGCCGAUGUCUGAUUAGCUAGUUGGUGGGGUAAAGGCCCACCAAGGCGACGAUCAGUAGCUGGUCUGAGAGGACGAUCAGCCACACUGGGACUGAGACACGGCCCAGACUCCUACGGGAGGCAGCAGUGGGGAAUUUUGGACAAUGGGGGCAACCCUGAUCCAGCAAUGCCGCGUGUGUGAAGAAGGCCUUCGGGUUGUAAAGCACUUUUGUCCGGAAAGAAAUGGCCUGGGUUAAUACCUCGGGUCGAUGACGGUACCGGAAGAAUAUGCACCGGCUAACUACGUGCCAGCAGCCGCGGUAAUACGUAGGGUGCGAGCGUUAAUCGGAAUUACUGGGCGUAAAGCGUGCGCAGGCGGUUUUGUAAGACAGGCGUGAAAUCCCCGAGCUUAACUUGGGAAUGGCGCUUGUGACUGCAAGGCUAGAGUAUGUCAGAGGGGGGUAGAAUUCCACGUGUAGCAGUGAAAUGCGUAGAGAUGUGGAGG
rnacentral:rRNA from 1 species